rnacentral:rRNA from 1 species
UACGUAGGGUGCGAGCGUUGUCCGGAAUUACUGGGCGUAAGGAGCUCGUAGGUGGUUUGUCGCGUUGUUCGUGAAAUCUCACGGCUUAACUGUGAGCGUGCGGGCGAUACGGGCAGACUAGAGUACUGCAGGGGAGACUGGAAUUCCUGGUGUAGCGGUGGAAUGCGCAGAUAUCAGGAGGAACACCGGUGGCGAAGGCGGGUCUCUGGGCAGUAACUGACGCUGAGGAGCGAAAGCGUGGGGAGCGAACAGG